GUCCUCUUGUGGUGAUGAAGUGCAUUGUCUCGGGCCUCCAUAUGCGCACCUUAUUAAGCCUGUUUGCACUCGAAAACAGGAAGCUUGGAGUUGUAAAGAAGCCAGACACAAAGUGCAUCAUAAAGAUGGAAUUUAUAGCUAGAUUAACAUGGAAGGACUGAUUGUAUUACUGUACAAAAAAAUAUAACCAGAUGCACAGGACAUCAAAACCAGAUCCCUGGGGAAUGGAAAACGUUUGCGGCUGAAGCAGUAAACUACUCGCGGAGGAACAUUGUUUUGGUAGUUUUGGUUCCACUAUUCUGCACGGAUGAAUCUGUCACCACUGCUAAUGUUUCCAGAAACCAAAACUCUCCAAAAUCAAAGAAGGAAGAAAAUGAAAGAUUCUGAAAAUUGUUUGAUGAGCUGUGCAUUAUGUAGUUUCCCAGGAAAUCCAUCAGACAACUAAGGCAAAAAGGGGGGAGGGGGACAAAAACAAAAGGAAUGAACAUCUGUGCCAUCUAGAAGAAACAUUUGAGACAUUGUUGACUCUUAAAUGGGCUCUCCAUUAUGUCACCUGAGCUACAAAACAGAAAGCUCUUGUCAUGAUUACAAGGGAAUACUGACAUUUACACCAGGUACGCACUAACACACCCUAAUGCUGAGGAUGCUGGAGAAUGUUCUCAUUCUGCAUGAACAAAGUGGUGUUCUUUACAGAGUUCUGGGCUUUCCGCCCAUGUUUUUGAUCCACUUGGAUUUAAGGCAUUCUGACAACAUGGAACAUUUGUGAGAUUACUGUAGGGAGUGAUUCUGUUCCGUCUGGCGGAAGGAUUCAAGUUCAGCUGGUUCCCCUUCAAGUCAGGCAUUAUUACAGACAUCCUGCGGAGGCAGAAGGGCUUUCUAGAACGGACCGUUUCCAGGUUCUCAUGCAGUCACAACAGAGAGCUCACAAACUCAAUUUCACUUAGAGAGCCAUGUGAUGUCAAAUAAAUGUACUGGAUUUAAUAAAUGUUCACUUUUAAUUGCAUCUUU